rnacentral:rRNA from 1 species
GAUGAACGCUGGCGGCGUGCUUAACACAUGCAAGUCGAGCGAAGCACUUAUCAUUGACUCUUCGGAAGAUUUGAUAUUUGACUGAGCGGCGGACGGGUGAGUAACGCGUGGGUAACCUGCCUCAUACAGGGGAAUAACAGUUAGAAAUGGCUGCUAAUGCCGCAUAAGCGCACAGGACCGCAUGGUCUGGUGUGAAAAACUGAGGUGGUAUGAGAUGGACCCGCGUCUGAUUAGGUAGUUGGUGGGGUAACGGCCUACCAAGCCGACGAUCAGUAGCCGGCCUGAGAGGGUGAACGGCCACAUUGGGACUGAGACACGGCCCAGACUCCUACGGGAGGCAGCAGUGGGGAAUAUUGCACAAUGGGGGAAACCCUGAUGCAGCGACGCCGCGUGAAGGAAGAAGUAUCUCGGUAUGUAAACUUCUAUCAGCAGGGAAGAAAAUGACGGUACCUGACUAAGAAGCCCCGGCUAACUACGUGCCAGCAGCCGCGGUAAUACGUAGGGGGCAAGCGUUAUCCGGAUUUACUGGGUGUAAAGGGAGCGUAGACGGAAGAGCAAGUCUGAUGUGAAAGGCUGGGGCUUAACCCCAGGACUGCAUUGGAAACUGUUUUUCUAGAGUGCCGGAGAGGUAAGCGGAAUUCCUAGUGUAGCGGUGAAAUGCGUAGAUAUUAGGAGGACCACCAGUGGCGAAGGCGGCUUACUGGAC